rnacentral:lncRNA from 1 species
UGUGUGUGUGUGUGUGUGUGUGUAGUGUGUGUGUGUGUGUGUGUGUGUGUGUAGUGUGUGUGUGUGUGUGUGUGUGUGUGUGUGUCUGUCCUCUUUUGGGGGGGUUGCUUUGACCUUUUUUUCUUAAAGAGCUAGAACACAUGAUGUGAGGAGGAUCUGGGAUGAGUUGGAAGAGGAGGAAAACGAUCAUCAAACUUUUGAAAACGACAAUAACUACAAAGUAAGGCAAACAGUGACCGAGGAGUAAUAGCUGAGAUAACCCUCCAUCCUCCAUGCAUGUACUGUACACGUGAGCACUUGCGUGCACAGAGAAAAUGAGUCUGGAAGAUAGAAGUGUGUUGGAAAUGCCAACAGGAAAGACAGAGAGCAUGUGUUUGUCUUUGGCCUCUUUUAAAUGCCCUCCAAUGCUCUGAGCCUCACAACAGCCUAAAUGAGUAGUUAGUUUUGAUUCUGAUCAUUUCUGUUUUUACAGACUGGGGAUGUAUAUUAUUUCCCAUCAGCAUUUUUUUUUUUAGUAGAAAAGCGAGGUAUUUUUUUAUUACUUUAUAAGAGGCAAACUAAAGUAAAUAUAUGCACAAUAAUAAGAAACACACAUAAUACAAAAUGCUGUGUUCAUUUAAUGUUGUGCAUGUGUGUAUGUAUAUAGGGCUGAUGUUUUGGGACUAGAUGAGCUUUGGGGACUCGUUUCUGGAGAGACUGAUUCUCCUUCUCUUAACAGCCAUUGGUUGCCUGAAGUUUAAUUUAAUUAGCAUUAUUAUUAUUAUUUUUAAAGUCAGAGGCAUACUAUGUAGUUAUGGCUGGCAUUGAACUCACAGAGAUUAUAUGGCUGUCUUUAGAUAUUUGGGCUUCUGAUUUCUUAUGAAUUAUCAGAACUAUACAUAUUGAUAUAUCUGCCUCCCGAGUGCUGAUAUGAAAGGCAUGUGUUAUCAUACCUAAACAAAAACUAAAUACAUAAAUUCAUAUGCAUACACAUAAUUUAUUGUGUGUGUCUGUGCAUGCCCAUGCAUACAGGUGCAUCUCAUCACACACCUUCAUAGUCAAGGUCAAGGUCAGGAGUCUGCUUGCUGUUGCUACCAUGUGAGUUCCAGGAUUGAAUUUAGGUCAUCCGACUCAGCAGCAGGUACCUUUAAUUGCUGAGACUUCUCUUUGGCCCAAGUUCCUAGGUCUGAAUGGCUUAAUAAAGGUAAAACAGCAUGUGCUACAUCAUAUCUGUUAUGCAGAUUCUCAUAGACGAGAUCUGUAGACUCUUCGUAGUUUCUUUUGACUUUGGCUACUAUCUAGGGUUAAGGAAUACCGUCUGUAAAAUAUUAAUAUAUGAAAAUCACAAGAAUCUCAUGACAGUUAUAAUGUUUAAAUAGAAUAAAUUAAAAAGUGUCUGUUCAUGCUUUAUUUAUGUCUCAUUGUCUGCAAAGAGAUUGGCCCAGAGUAGCAAGGGAGAUUAUCUGGAGAGAAACACAUAUAAUUUCCUUUAAGAUUUGGUUAAAGAAAAUGAAAUUUGAGUUAGUGAACGAGAUAAGUAGACAAAGACUACAUUUGACAUUAACAUGGCGUGUGCAUUGCAGGCUGUACCAGACUUAUC